GCGUUCCCGCCGCCUCCGAGCUCGCCUGGGGCUGCCGCCCGCCUCCUGCCGGGCCCUCGGGCUCGCCCGGCACCGCGGGGCUUGAUCAGGGAGAUAUUUUAGUACAACAUCUUUUCAUCACAGAAAUGAUAUCUUCAGGGAAAAGACUUCGAAAAAGUGCCUGAAGUGACACAACACAUGUUUUCUUCUGGUAUCUGGCUAAAGAAUGAAAUCUGGCAGAAAUAUUUAAUGAAGAGGAAUCUGAACAUAGCAGUUGAGAAAGAAAGAUUGGGAGAAGACUCCAGAUGUCGUAAAGCAAAGAGAGGAUGAGGCACAGGAAGCAGCUCUUAUUAUUUCUGUUGCACUUUGGCUCAGAGAACUCCAAGCAAUUGAUUCUAUCCUGAGGACAUAUUUUUUCAAUUUGAGAUAUAAUUAAUUUGUUUUCCAGUAAAAUAGAUAUUAGUAGAUCUAUGACAUACAGGAAACAAUCGAAAAUAGAGAUAAGUGGUAAUAAUACCUCAUUACUUAAGACAUCUUUUUCAGAAAAUUAUUCUUCAGUGUGUGGUGCAUUGGCUUUCUAGGAAAGAACGGGAGGGAGAACCCUGCUGACAUGAAUAAUGGCCUGGGGGAGAGGGGGAGAGAAGCAAGAGAAAGGAGCAGUUAAGAGGAAAAUGAUGUCAUAUGGAAAGAAGGAAAUAGAUCAGGGCGUCUUUAAGAGCUAAUAUCAAUUGGGUUUAGUGUCUGUAUUUAGAGGAUGGGAGAGAAGAGGUAUCAUCUAGGGUUUUGGCUUGGGCCACAGGUAGAUCUUGUUAAGGCUGUACGAAAUAGAAAAUCCAGGAGGUAACGCAGGUGUGUGGGGGAAAUGAUACAAAUGUAAAUCAUACAAGGAUAUGAACCCUGUAGAUUUUACAACUUUGAGCUCUAUCCUUCUUAGGCCUUCUCUUCUAAGCAGCAUAAACUACUGCUGCCUACAUGUUGCCUGUUCAUAAAGGCUGAGGCAGGGGAGUCGCUUGAACUCGGGAGGCGGAGGUUGCAGUGAGCCGAGAUCAUGCCAUUUCCCUCCAGCCUGGCGACAGAGCAAGACUCCAUCUCAAAAAAAAGAAAAGAGAAGAAAAAAACAAAGAACUUUAUGCACCUUCUGGAAUAACAAAAUGCAAAUGUAAUGUUAUCUACCAGGAUAGAAAUUGGAGGCUAGAAUAUGUUGGGUAGGGUAGAGAGACUAGAGGGAAUGAUUUAGCAAUAAAAUAGGUUUAAAUAUCUUCUCACGUGCCCAGACUUAAUUAGCUUUGUAUUAUUCCUAUUAGUAAGCCAGGAAUUAGUACUAGGUGAUAAGCAAGGAUGUGCAGGGCCUUGUGAGGAAAAGAGUUACUGUAGCAGUUCUGGAUGCUUACCCCUUGCAUGUCUCCAGGGGAACCAUCUUUGACCUUGGCCAACCCCUGGAUUGCAAUCCUUGGAGUGUUCUUUAUGUUAGUGAUGAUGAUUUUGUUGUAUACACCUGGAGCAUUGGACCAUUCCAUACUGGCUCGCCAGGUUGCGUUGCACAAACACCAAGACUGAUAAAUAGGCACCUGGUUUUAUUAUUGGGCCCCU
rnacentral:lncRNA from 1 species